UAUGUCCAACGUUCCUGUUAU
rnacentral:piRNA from 1 species